GAGUUUGAUCCUGGCUCAGGACGAACGCUGGCGGCGUGCCUAAUACAUGCAAGUAGAACGCUGAAGUCUGGUGCUUGCACUAGACGGAUGAGUUGCGAACGGGUGAGUAACGCGUAGGUAACCUGCCUCAUAGCGGGGGAUAACUAUUGGAAACGAUAGCUAAUACCGCAUAACAGUAUUUACCGCAUGGUAGAUAUUUGAAAGGAGCAAUUGCUUCACUAUGAGAUGGACCUGCGUUGUAUUAGCUAGUUGGUGAGGUAACGGCUCACCAAGGCUUCGAUACAUAGCCGACCUGAGAGGGUGAUCGGCCACACUGGGACUGAGACACGGCCCAGACUCCUACGGGAGGCAGCAGUAGGGAAUCUUCGGCAAUGGGGGCAACCCUGACCGAGCAACGCCGCGUGAGUGAAGAAGGUUUUCGGAUCGUAAAGCUCUGUUGUAAGAGAAGAACGUGUGUGAGAGUGGAAAGUUCACACAGUGACGGUAUCUUACCAGAAAGGGACGGCUAACUACGUGCCAGCAGCCGCGGUAAUAC
rnacentral:rRNA from 1 species